rnacentral:misc_RNA from 1 species
GCGAUGGCUCCGAUGAAGCUGUACGGGUCGACGCUGUCGUGGAACGUGACGAGGUGCGUGGCGGUGCUGGAGGAGGCCGGCGCCGAGUACGAGAUCGUGCCGCUCGAUUUCUCCAAAGGCGAGCACAAGGCCCCCGACCACCUCGCCAGGAACCCCUUUGGUCAGGUGCCGGCUUUGCAAGAUGGUGACUUGUUCCUCUGGGAAUCACGUGCAAUUUGCAAGUAUGUAUGCCGCAAGAACAAA